AUUGAACGCUGGCGGCAUGCCUUACACAUGCAAGUCGAACGGCAGCACGGGAGCAAUCCUGGUGGCGAGUGGCGAACGGGUGAGUAAAGUAUCGGAACGUGCCCAGUCGUGGGGGAUAACGUAGCGAAAGUUACGCUAAUACCGCAUACGAUCUAUGGAUGAAAGCGGGGGAUCGCAAGACCUCGCGCGAUUGGAGCGGCCGAUAUCAGAUUAGGUAGUUGGUGGGGUAAAGGCCCACCAAGCCGACGAUCUGUAGCUGGUCUGAGAGGACGACCAGCCACACUGGGACUGAGACACGGCCCAGACUCCUACGGGAGGCAGCAGUGGGGAAUUUUGGACAAUGGGCGAAAGCCUGAUCCAGCCAUGCCGCGUGCAGGAUGAAGGCCUUCGGGUUGUAAACUGCUUUUGUACGGAACGAAAAGGACUGCCCUAAUACGGUGGUCCCAUGACGGUACCGUAAGAAUAAGCACCGGCUAACUACGUGCCAGCAGCCGCCGCGG
rnacentral:rRNA from 1 species